rnacentral:rRNA from 1 species
CUACGGGAGGCAGCAGUGGGGAAUAUUGCACAAUGGGGGAAACCCUGAUGCAGCAACGCCGCGUGGAGGAUGACACAUUUCGGUGCGUAAACUCCUUUUAUAGGUCAAGAUAAUGACGGUAGCCUAUGAAUAAGCGCCGGCUAACUCCGUGCCAGCAGCCGCGGUAAUAGGGAGGGCGCAAGCGUUACUCGGAAUCACUGGGCGUAAAGAGCAUGUAGGCGGGUUAAUAAGUCAGAAGUGAAAUCCAAUAGCUCAACUAUUGAACUGCUUUUGAAACUGUUAACCUAGAGUGUGGGAGAGGUAGAUGGAAUUUCUGGUGUAGGGGUAAAAUCCGUAGAGAUCAGAAGGAAUACCGAUUGCGAAGGCGAUCUACUGGAACAUUACUGACGCUGAGAUGCGAAAGCGUGGGGAGCAAACAGGAUUAGAUACCCGCGUAGUC